CUGAUGAGCAUCUAAAGGCAAGAAGUCGUGCCAAGCAACACCUUGAACAUAGAUUACCUCCAGGAGCACAAUUAGUAGUACUCUAAAUAUGAUCAACAAUUCCAAUAUUCUUUUGUAUGACCUGAUUUGCAGUACUCAGUAUUUGGGUCAAUUAUGACAAUUGGAGCAAUGUUAGGUGCAGUGCUGAGUGGAAGAAUAGCAGACAUCCUAGGACGCAGAGGAGUACCUGUAUAUAUAGCAUAAAUAACCCCCAAAAAUCUUCGAGGAGGAUCUACUACUGUGCAUCAGUUAUGGCAAGACCACUAAGAAAUUGUACGUUGAGUGAGUAUCUUUAUGAUUCAUGUGCAUAACUAUUGAUUAUUGUUCAGUUCAUGAUUUCUUUUUGGGUUAGUAGUUACAUAUUUUGUUGGAACUGUUGUCAACUGGCGCACCUUGGCUCUGAUAGGAACUAUUCCAUGUCUUGCACAGCUUAUAGGUUUAUUAUUAUUCCUG